rfam:Myotis davidii contig72866, whole genome shotgun sequence.
CCAAAGGCUCUUUUCAGAGCCACCCACAUUUUCUGAAGAGCGCUGU